rnacentral:lncRNA from 1 species
UAUCUCUUUCCAAUUUUCUCUUUCCACUCGAAAAGACAAAGAAACAUCGAUAUCGACUCACUAGCUCCAUUUCAAUCAUCCUUGUCCUCAUCCUAAGUCUUCAUUAAAUUCAUCCCCAUAAAAAUCUCAUUCCCUUUGAGAUCCCUUCAACAGUAGACCCUUUGAAUCGGGAUCGAGAAAGAAGCCCACAAGCAAUUAGUUUUUGGUGUUUGAUAGCAACCCAAU